rnacentral:tRNA from 1 species
UUAAUUAAAGCCAAACCAGAGGCAUCUUAUUGUUAAUAAGAAUAAUGAUUUUUAUAUCUAAUUAAA